CGUGCUUCCAAGUCGUUUUCGAUGUUCGGACUUUUGAAUCGACGAUCGGCUCCGUUAGAGUUGAUCUAGAGUAUUUGAAGUACUUAGAAAAUAAAUUUUGCGAUUUUUCGAUAUCAUUUGCCUAGUGAUCGAAGGGGCUCAAAAUCAAUAAUUUUAACAGCCGUGGUGAGCCGGUUGCAAGUUUAACGGUAUAGAAAUAUCCAAAUCACAUGAAAUUUUGAUAGAAAAUUUUUUAUACCAUAUAAAACAAGAUCAAUAACUUUGAUCUAAAAUUUUAAUGUCAUAUCAUCACAUUUUGUGAGAUUUUUAUUUUCAGCCGUUAAUUUUGAGCCCCUUCGAUCACUAGGCAAAUGAUAUCAAAAUAUCGCAAAAUUUAUUUUCUAGAUACUUCAAAUACUCUAGAUCAAGUCUAACGGAGCCGAUCGUCGAUUCGAAAGUCCGAACAUCGAAAACAAAGUGGAAGCACGGAGCCCUCCGUGCUUCCAUAAGCAUUCUAGCCGCACUCUCUCUCUCUCUCUCUCUCUCUCUCUCUCUCUCUCUAUAUAUAUAUAUAUAUAUAUAUAUAUUUAUGUAUNNNNNNNNNNNNNNNNNNNNNNNNNAUCAAAAAUAAUUUAAUGAUUCAAAACCAUCAAGAUGUAAGUUGAUGAAAAAUGUUAUUUAGAAAUUCAACAAAAUUGACAUCAAUUUGUCGCAACACAUUCAAAAUAGAGAUUUAACUAAUAUGGUACCGGGGGUGGCUCUUUGAGCAUCUUUUUCAAACUAGCACCUUAUUACUCCGAAAAUUCUAAAAUAUUUAUAUUUUUUCAACCUUUUUCGGCUUUUUUAAUUAAAUUUCAUAUGGUAGCUUCACACACUUGCCGGACGACCGGGGUGGUAGCUCUUUCCUACAUGUGGUGGUAGUUUUCACACUUCUUUUGGAUGUAACUCUUUCCACAUCUUUUAAACAUAGGAGUUUCUUUUUCUCCCUUUUUUUAUUUUUAAACAAUUUCAAACUCCUCCUAAAUUAGACAAUCUCACAGUUGAAAAUAAUUUUGACGAAUUUUAGUCAAUUAGAGAAUAUCCAUUCAUCAUAUCCAACACUUACAACCAAGAUGAAUUAAUCACAAAAAAAAAAUCAAAUUUGAUUUCAAAAUUUUGAUGAAUUUAUGCAAUAAGAAAUCAUAUAUUAAUUUAUCGUCAAAAUAAUAAAAAAAUGGAGUAAAACCGAUAAUUAAUAUGAAUUUAACUUAACAUGAUUGUGAAGUUAAAACCCGUUUAAACAAUCUUAAAAAAAUCUCUCAUCAAAAUAAUGAUUCUCAACCAUCUCUUUUCUCGAAAUUUUGAAUUCCUAAACACCUUUCCUCAACAUGAUUUAUAAAUAAACAAAAAUUCAAUGCACCAAAAAUCAUUCAAACAUGUAAUGCAAUGAGUAAAAUUAUGCAACAAACACCAAUCAAAGCAUUACACUAAAGAUCAAAAUGACUAGGACGAGGAGC
rnacentral:lncRNA from 1 species